rnacentral:lncRNA from 1 species
CCGCCGCCCCGAGGGCUCCGGAAGCAGCGGGUGCUCGGCCCACGUCGCCUGCGAGGCCCCGCACUGGGAGCAGUCGAAGGAGGAGUCUUUAUUAUUUCUAUUUCACCUAUGAUGAAUAUGAUCCUCAGUCGGCCAAGGUCACAAAGCUUUUAAGAGUGUAUGUGAAAGCUUGCGUACAAAAAGAAGGGGCAACAACUAUACAGGAAGGAGAACAGAUCAAAUAUGAUAUCAGGAAAUACAGAAGACUAAAUAUACCCAUUGUUCCUGCUGCGAAAAAGAUGGAAUAUGAUUAAGCUCUCAUACCACCCAGGUCCACACCAGACUCAGCUCACCCAGGAAUGAGUCACUGCUCUGAUGGACUGAUUGGCCUGGGCUGAGCCAAAGCAGUGAUUAAAUAGCUUAGAGCUUUGGAGCUGAAGGGAACCUCUGCACUAAUUCUCCUUCAUGCUUAAACGAAAGCUGAUUCUGGAAGAUAUCCAGUGAUGGCUGGGAUUUAGGAGGAUGGUCUUCUGCAAACCAACCACAGGAACUGAUGCCAACAGGCUCUUCACUGAGCAGAUGAAGUGCGGGCUGGGGAGCUCUUCGGCUAAUUUGUUUUCCAUGUAUAGUGAAUGUUUUCAAACAUAAAUUAUUAAUUGUACUUUAAAAGUUGACUGUAUAAAAUGAAUUUUCAGUUAAUCUACACUCCAAAUGGUCUGCAACAAAUAAACAACUAAAAUACCAAACA